rnacentral:rRNA from 1 species
AUGCCUACUACUUGUUGUAGUGAUUAUGCUUGGGAAGACAAUGAUGUCUUUUAUGAUCUUGGAUAUCUUUUUGGCACUUGCUUGGAAGAAUAUGAUAAUAAUGUUUGCUAUACUAUUGGUGCCAUUCAUGCUAUUGAUAAGAAUGAUUAUGAUGGUAUGCAAAACCACAAGCUUGGGGAUCCUAUGUUUGAUGAGUAUGAAAUGUUUGAAGAUUUAUUUUCUGAAAACAAUGCUUGUCCUAAGCUUGGGGAUGCUUUGCAUAAUGAAUAUGAUCCUUUGAUUCCUUCUACUUUCGAUAAUAAGAUUUAUUAUGAUGAUAGCAUGCUUCCUAUUUAUGAUGAUUACAAUGAUGAAAGUGGGUUUGGAAGAGUGUCAACUCUAGGUAGUAGUGAUCCCACUAUUUUGGAGGGUGUUGAAUCUUAUUACAAAAUUGAUGAAAGAGAGGUCAUGACUUUAUUUAGUGAUACAUCCACUAUUUUGGAAGAGGUUUCAAUUGACUAUGAUGAGAACAAAGUUGCUACUUAUGAUGUUUAUUAUGAUGACAUGUAUGCCAUAAAGAGUAAUAAAUUUUCUAUGCUUUUGGAUCAUGAAAAGAAUGCUUUAUGUGAUGGUUAUAUGGAUGAAUCUAUUCAUGAUGCUACUAAAAAUUAUUAUGAGAGAGGAACUUAUGAUUCAUGA